UACGGAGGGGGCUAGCGUUGUUCGGAAUUACUGGGCGUAAAGCGCGCGUAGGCGGAUCUGCAAGUCGGGGGUGAAAUCCCGAGGCUCAACCUCGGAACUGCCUUCGAUACUGCGGGUCUCGAGUCCGGGAGAGGUGAGUGGAAUUCCUAGUGUAGAGGUGAAAUUCGUAGAUAUUAGGAAGAACACCAGUGGCGAAGGCGGCUCACUGGCCCGGUACUGACGCUGAGGCGCGAAAGCUAGGGUAGCAAACGGG
rnacentral:rRNA from 1 species